GCCUUCAUAGUGUAAUGGUCAGCACACUCGGCGUGUAUUCGAGAGGUCCAUGGUUCAAGUCCCAGCAAGGGCA
rnacentral:tRNA from 1 species